CUCGUCACACUAUCAUUAACUGAAUCCAUAGGUUAAUGAGGCGAACCGGGGGAACUGAAACAUCUAAGUACCCCGAGGAAAAGAAAUCAACCGAGAUUCCCCCAGUAGCGGCGAGCGAACGGGGAGGAGCCCAGAGCCUGAAUCAGCAUGUGUGUUAGUGGAAGCGUCUGGAAAGGCGCGCGAUACAGGGUGACAGCCCCGUACACAAAAGCGCAUGUGCUGUGAGCUCGAUGAGUAGGGCGGGACACGUGGUAUCCUGUCUGAAUAUGGGGGGACCAUCCUCCAAGGCUAAAUACUCCUGACUGACCGAUAGUGAACCAGUACCGUGAGGGAAAGGCGAAAAGAACCCCGGCGAGGGGAGUGAAAAAGAACCUGAAACCGUGUACGUACAAGCAGUGGGAGCACCCUUUUGGGUGUGACUGCGUACCUUUUGUAUAAUGGGUCAGCGACUUAUAUUCUGUAGCAAGGUUAACCGCAUAGGGGAGCCGGAGGGAAACCGAGUCUUAAU
rnacentral:rRNA from 1 species